rnacentral:lncRNA from 1 species
UGUGUCAUACCUGGACAGCCCUGGGCUCCCCAGCUCACACAGCUCUGCCUUCCAAGUGAAAUCUUGCUGAAGACAGCAAGCACUUUGGCUUCUAUAGACUUCAUGGAGAUGAGAAUUCACCCAAGUGAGGCCUGACAAAACACCAAAAUUACCUUGAGGCCACUCAGCCAUUAUUUUUCCUGGGGGAGCUCUGCCUGCUGCUGCUCAUCUCCCAGCGCUGCCUGGAGCGUGGGAUGCUGGGGAAGAGCAGAGGAUGCUGCACUGCAAAGCCGCUCCGAUGCUGCCGCCUGCAGCCGCGCCGCAGCAGCUCAGGGAGCUCCAUCCUGGGCUGCACACUCAGGGUCUGUCUGCACAUCCCUCCUGGAAACACCUCCAAGCUGCUACGUGAAGGAAUUCCAGGUUCAUUUUCCCUUCUCUGAUUGAGAGCUACAAAACUUUCAGGGAGCACUGAACAAGCCUGAAAUCCCUGCUGGGACAGAACCCAGCUUUGGUCCAGCCUGCUUUGGUUCCAGUGGGAUGUUUUUGAUGGAGUGCAUCCUAGCAUGUGCUGCAAAUCCUGCUCACAGGAGGGCAGGGAAUUGAUGCUGCCUGCAUCACUUAGAAAAUGGCUCUGGACAUGAGCUGGAUGGAAUAAGUAUUGCAGAUUUUCUUAUUUUUGCAUAAUUGAUGAUUAUUGAUGAUAAAUGGCGAAUGGUUCUUUGCCAUUUUUCAGUGGUGUGGG